rnacentral:rRNA from 1 species
ACGCUGGCGGCAGGCCUAACACAUGCAAGUCGAGCGGUAGAGAGAAGCUUGCUUCUCUUGAGAGCGGCGGACGGGUGAGUAAUGCCUAGGAAUCUGCCUGGUAGUGGGGGAUAACGUUCGGAAACGGACGCUAAUACCGCAUACGUCCUACGGGAGAAAGCAGGGGACCUUCGGGCCUUGCGCUAUCAGAUGAGCCUAGGUCGGAUUAGCUAGUUGGUGAGGUAAUGGCUCACCAAGGCGACGAUCCGUAACUGGUCUGAGAGGAUGAUCAGUCACACUGGAACUGAGACACGGUCCAGACUCCUACGGGAGGCAGCAGUGGGGAAUAUUGGACAAUGGGCGAAAGCCUGAUCCAGCCAUGCCGCGUGUGUGAAGAAGGUCUUCGGAUUGUAAAGCACUUUAAGUUGGGAGGAAGGGUUGUAGAUUAAUACUCUGCAAUUUUGACGUUACCGACAGGAUAAGCACCGGCUAACUCUGUGCCAGCAGCCGCGGUAAUACAGAGGGUGCAAGCGUUAAUCGGAAUUACUGGGCGUAAAGCGCGCGUAGGUGGUUUGUUAAGUUGGAUGUGAAAUCCCCGGGCUCAACCUGGGAACUGCAUUCAAAACUGACUGACUAGAGUAUGGUAGAGGGUGGUGGAAUUUCCUGUGUAGCGGUGAAAUGCGUAGAUAUAGGAAGGAACACCAGUGGCGAAGGCGACCACCUGGACUAAUACUGACACUGAGGUGCGAAAGCGUGGGGAGCAAAC